GUGGGGAAUAUUCCGCAAUGGACGAAAGUCUGACGGAGCAACGCCGCGUGAGUGAUGAAGGUUUUCGGACUGUAAAGCUCUGUUGUUUAGGACGAAAGUGCCUGUUGCGAACAGUUACAGGUAUUGACGGUACUAAACGAGGAAGCCACGGCUAACUACGUGCCAGCAGCCGCGGUAAUACGUAGGUGGCAAGCGUUGUCCGGAAUUAUUGGGCGUAAAGAGCAUGUAGGCGGAGAUUUAAGUCUGUUGUGAAAAUGCGGGGCUCAACCCCGUAUUGCGAUUGAAACUGAAUUUCUUGAGUGCAGGAGAGGAAAGGGGAAUUCCCAGUGUAGCGGUGAAAUGCGUAGAUAUUGGGAGGAACACCAGUGGCGAAGGCGCCUUUCUGGACUGUGUCUGACGCUGAGAUGCGAAAGCCAGGGUAGCGAACGGGAUUAGAAACCCCUGUAGUCC
rnacentral:rRNA from 1 species